rnacentral:lncRNA from 1 species
UCGCGCAGCUCUCCCCGGACGCCGGGGUCCCUGCCGCCCGCCAGGGCAAGGCCAGGCGCGGGGUGGGGGCGAGUGGAUUAGGGCUGAUUAAGCCAUCAGGCCCCGGGAGCCAACAGGCAGUGACAGCCCCCGAUGAGAUUAGGCAGGAUUAGCAGUGUGKGGGGGGGGAGGAUUACGGGAGGCAAGUGCCCUGCGCGGGGGCUCGGGGGGCACUGCAGGGAGAAGGCGGGCUUGCUGCACCCGCCGCGCGCUGCCCUGCAGCCGUUGCAGCCAGACCCGAGUCACAGACAGUCCAGGGCCACGGUGGCACCGUGCACCCUGCUCCAAGCAGCGAUGCUGCUGCAACGGGGAGCGAAGCAGGGCCCGGGCAGGGAGCGCUGGCGGAGCCGGGGGGCAGGGGGAUGCAGGCGAGGGGUGAGCCGGGGCAGCCCCAUUGCAUGCUGCAGGGCGCAGCCCUCCCCGGCGAAACCCCGGCAGCAGCAGGCCCUGCGGGACAGAUGCCCCAGCACCGCGGGACAUCCGGGCACGGGGCGCUCCGGCAGCUCUUCCUGUGUGCAGCAGCGGGGCUGGCACUGGGCGACACUGGCACCCAGCUCGGGGUGCCCGGUGCUGCGCUGCACCCAGAGCUGGGGAUGCUCGAGGAGGCGCCGGUCUCGUCCCCGCCGGAUCCGCUGCCCGCUCCCCUUCUCCCGGCCCCUGGGAGCGACGGCCUCGCGCGGCAUCAAGCGCUGGGCAAAGGGGCUCUCGGCCGGCGGCGAGGGCCGCGGGACCCCCCGGAGCGGCGGGGCCGGAUGUCUGCGGAGGGAGCGACCCGCGCCGGGGCAGGGCGGGGGCGAGGAGGUGGCAGGAGGGGGAUUUUCCAUCGCACCCAACCGCCCGUUGCCGCCGCUUCCCCGACACCCCCACCCCCCCGCGCAUCCUCCCCACUGGAGCGAAGUCACAUGCUGAGCGGGUGCUGCCAUUGAGGCGAUCGCAGCGGCGAUAAGGAAACNNNNNNNNNNNNNNNNNNNNNNNNNNNNNNNNNNNNNNNNN